GCCUGGGUGGUUCAGUUGGUUAAGCCUCUGACUUCAGCUCAGGCCAUGGUCUCACAGUUUGUGGGUUCGAGCCCCGCUUCAGGCU
rnacentral:tRNA from 1 species